GAUGAACGCUGGCGGCGUGCCUAAUACAUGCAAGUCGAGCGAAUGGAUUAAGAGCUUGCUCUUAUGAAGUUAGCGGCGGACGGGUGAGUAACACGUGGGUAGCCUGCCCAUAAGACUGGGAUAACUCCGGGAAACCGGGGCUAAUACCGGAUAACAUUUUGAACCGCAUGGUUCGAAAUUGAAAGGCGGCUUCGGCUGUCACUUAUGGAUGGACCCGCGUCACAUUAGCUAGUUGGUGAGGUAACGGCUCACCAAGGCAACGAUGCGUAGCCGACCUGAGAGGGUGAUCGGCCACACUGGGGCUGAGACACGGCCCAGACUCCUACGGGAGGCAGCAGUAGGGAAUCUUCCGCAAUGGACGAAGGUCUGACGGAGCAACGCCGCGUGAGUGAUGAAGGCUUUCGGGUCGUAAAACUCUGUUGUAGGGAAGAACAAGUGCUAGUUGAAUAAGCUGGCACCUUGACGGUACCUAACCAGAAAGCCACGGCUAACUACGUGCCAGCAGCCGCCGUAA
rnacentral:rRNA from 1 species